rnacentral:rRNA from 1 species
AUUGAACGCUGGCGGCAUGCUUUACACAUGCAAGUCGAGCGGCAGCGCGGGGCUCGGGCAACUGAGUUCUGGCGGCGAGCGGCGAACGGGUGAGUAACACAUCGGAACGUACCCAGGAGUGGGGGAUAGCUCGGCGAAAGCCGGAUUAAUACCGCAUACGAUCUACGGAUGAAAGCGGGGGACCUUUUGGGGCCUUGCGCUCGUGGAGCGGCCGAUGUCCGAUUAGCUAGUUGGUGGGGUAAAGGCCUACCAAGGCGACGAUCGGUAGCUGGUCUGA